rnacentral:lncRNA from 1 species
GGAGGCUGUGCCAGGGUGUUCAGGCUCCCGUGAGCCCCCAAGGUGCAACCUUACCCCAGACUUGCAGAUGGGAAGAAAGCUCUGUUCAAGGUACCACUAUGCGAAGGGGGCAAAGCUGGAUUUGAACCCAGGUCCCUCUGGCUCUACAGCCUCCUACGCUGCAUGGGGAACCCUGAAGUGCCUCCUCCUCCCUGCCUGGGACUGUGAGCUAGGGGAUGGAGGUCUGCCCCGGGCAGUCAGAGACGAGAAUGCACAGGACAUGGUGGGGAGCCCACCCAGUGGAGUGGAAGGCCCAGGCUGGCCUUCUCCUUGCCAGCCUAGCCACUGCCCACUGUGCCCCAGGAAAGACUGCCCUGUCCUGGCCACCACAUCCUCGUCCUCAAAGGCACUGGAUGCUUCCCAAAUUCCAGGCAUUUUGGUGGCACCUGGAUUAUCACCUAUUUGUCUCUAAAUUAACUCACUUUUAAAGGACUUCAAUAAAUGCAUUUAUCAAGGAAGCUUUACAUCAUUACUGUACAUGGAAAACCAGGAGCACUUGCCAAAACCAGACAGUAAUGGCAAAGACAAAGAAAACAAAGCGCUAUCAGUAAAUUCUGGCAUGCUGAUGUCAACAGUCCUGAGUUUGAGACCUUCUCUCUAUUAAAAAGGGACAGUGACAAAUGUUAUAGUCAUUAAAGACACAUUAGCCUCAAACCAAGACCUUUUCCUUGAUAUAAUCAGACUUCAACAAAAACUGAAAAAGGCCCAAAUUGCAGUGUGAACAACAAUCCAGGGCUGGUUAUUUUGGGUUAUUUCAUUCCAAGUGAGUUAUUGCUGGGUCCCACCUAAUCCCCACUCCUGAGUACCCCUCAUCUCCCCUUGGUUCCCUCCAAAAUCCCCUCUGGAAGGACACCUCAUGGCAUCUUAGCAAGGCCCGGGAAGGUGUGGUGUGUUCCUUCCUUCCUUCAUUCAGCCAGUAGUUGUCAGCACCUCCUCUGUCCAGCCAGGGGUACAGGGGCUGCCACCAUGAGCUAUCCUGGCCUGAGGAUGCUUCCAGCUAAUGGGUAGAGGGGAGAAAUCAUAAGACGUGGAGGCAGAUCUGGGUUUGAAGUUUCCCCAUCUGUGAAAUGGGUUUGCUGACCCCAGCCUACUCAGCUGGCUGUAAGGUUGGUGUAAAAUCUGGUAGGGCAGUGCUGGGCACAGGACUCACUCUCACCCUCUGGUGGCUCCGCUAGUCACACUGGGGCUCAGGACAGGAGGUGGAGCCCUGGUCUUCUGUUGCAAUCCCCCCAUCCUACUCCCGGCUCUUGCAUGGGCUUUAGGGGCCAUGGUUCACUGACACAAGGGAGGGAGAAACUGGUGUUUGCCAAGAGUCUGUGUUGUGCUUGGCGCCUGUUAUGUUAUAUUCUCCAAGUCUCACGCUGUCCCAGGGGCAAGUGUCCUGCUAUAAUUGUCCUCAUUUUAUAGUUGAGGAAACUGAGGCUCAGAGAGGGCAAGUGCCUCGCACAAGACCACACAUCACUUGUCACCUCCAGUUGAUGCAAGGAUACUCAGACCCGAAUACACCUCACCUAGGCAGCUCCUAAACCCCACUGCUCAGCUUGGCGGGGAGCUUGUGGCCCAAGUGCCCAGGAUCAUCACCACAGGCGGGUCUAAGACGACACCUAGUAUUAUCCUCAAGGCUCAGUGUGGGGAGCUGCAGGGUGCGGCAUGAGGAGCCAGUUGAGCCGGAGACAGGAAGAGAGGAGGGGCUGGAGAGGGAGCCGGAGGUGGUGAGGGAUAGGGAGGGAGACAGAGAGAGACAGAGACAGAGACACACUUAGAGACAGACAGAGAGUGGAAUGGGGAGGAGCAAGAGACUGAGAAGGAGAGACAAAGAGAGUGAGCGGGAGGAGCAAGACAGACAGGAACAGAGAUGGGUGGGGGCAGGAGAGAGAGAUAAGGCAGAGAGACCAGCGGAUGGACAGGGGCGGGGCACAGAGGUUGUGAGCGGGGAGGAGGGGCAUGGAGGCGGGGCAUAGAGGCAGGCCCCAUGCACCCCUGCUAGGCUCUGCAGUUGGCUCCCACGGAUAGCACGGUGUGUUCCCUCUCCACUCAGAGAGGGAGGCAGGGACACAGUCCCACGGGCAGUCCCACGAGUGGCUCUUGGCGGGUGGAUGGGCCUGCUAGGGGGCCUCCAAUUUCCUGCAGCUCAGCACUCCUGGCCAUCAAAGCAGUGGCCAGACUGGGGGUGAGGGGUCUGGAACAAGGCAGGCAGGAUGGCAGGAAGGCGAGGGUGUUGAGGGAAGUGGAAGGCGGCUGCAGGCCCAGCCUUUCCUGCUUGCCCCAUGGCGCACAGACACCCCUGCCCUUCCUUCCUGGUUGGGUGGGAAAGAGGAAAAUGAGGCCCACUACUCUCAGAGUGAGGCCCGCAGGGAACCCUGUGUGUGGCAGCUGUAGGUCUGACGGGAGGCCCCAUUCUGAGAGGUUGGAGCCGACGGGCUUUUGCUUUCAAACUCUGAUGCUCUGCUCCUCACGAGCUGUGCAUCUUGGGCCAGUCCCUUCCCCUCAGCCUUGGUUUCCAUAUCCGGAAGAUGGGUUACCCAUAGCGCCAGCCUCAGGGGGAUCUGUGAGGAAAAAGAGAGCCCGUACAUGGCAAGUUCUUGGCACAGUGUCUGGCACUGGCUAGCCCUGUGAGCACUCCCGUGAGGUAGCCGUGGCGCACGGUCCUCACAGGGCUGCGACCUUGGAGCCUUGGCUGCCUGCCCCUGACGUCAGUGCCCACCUGCUGCUUCUGCGGUCAAGAACCCUGCCCAGGGCCGCCUUGUGUGGGGCUAAUCUUCCAAGAAGCCUGUGAGAAUGUUGGGGAAAGUGCCCUGUAGGGGUGCCAGGGGUGGGGGCGCAGCAGCCCACCACACUGGAGGUGUAGCUGAGUCUCCACGGGAGGCAACUGCAGGCUCCACGACCAAGGCCUUGCUCUGGCUGGCGGCCGCGGGGCACUUGCCGGAACUAUUUCCUCUCUCCAUGAUUUCCUCAUUUAUGUCUGACCCCUGAGCACUGGUCCCUCUGGCUUUGCCACU